AAUACGGUAGACGUGUCAGGUAUGGCUGCGGUGUCACAUGCGUGUCAGUAGAUGGCAGAGAGGAAAGAGGGUAUGUCAACACUCAGUGUUCUGACCUACGAACAUCUGAAUGAUCAGUAGCCUAACUUU